AAUGAACGCUGGCGGCGUGCUUAACACAUGCAAGUCGUACGAGAACACCCUAGCUUGCUAGGGUAAGUAAAGUGGCGCACGGGUGAGUAACGCGUGGGUAAUCUACCUUCGAAUUGGGGAUAACGUUGCGAAAGCGACGCUAAUACCGAAUAACAUCCAUUAAUCUUCGGGUUUUUGGAUCAAGGGUGGCCUCUACAUGUAAGCUACUGUUUGAAGAUGAGCCCGCGUACCAUUAGCUUGUUGGUGGGGUAAUGGCCUACCAAGGCAGCGAUGGUUAGCUGGUCUGAGAGGAUGAUCAGCCACACUGGAACUGACACACGGUCCAG
rnacentral:rRNA from 1 species